ACACACAUCUGAAAUAUCCUCUCUAUACAGGAAAGUUUCAACGAUCUCUUCGUGGACACAAUGACGCCUCUACGUUUCGCUGUUGUCUUCGUCCUCCUCUUUGGUGUAUUUGUCGCCAGUGAAGCGGCACCUGAAGGACACGAGCUUGAACGUCGUCAACUUGACGUCGACCUCUGCGUUUGUGCUCUGAAUAUUAUUUGCCCUGAAAACGGCAAAUGCACAAAGAAAAGCUUGUGUAGGGAAUGCGCCAUUAUUUCUUGAUGAACAACAUGGCUGACCGGCAACCCUUAACAACGAAACGAUCAAUUGCACGUAUAUGAAAUAAGAGACCUUGGUAUUCUGUUUUACCAACAUGAUCAUGGGUGGCGGGAACUUUUGAGGGCAAUAAAUUGUACUAAGCAGCAGA